CAACUAAAGGGGAAAUUAAUCCCCUUUAGAGAUGUUAUUUGCGUGUACGUUUGCGUUGUCUCUUUGGUCGGAGACGCUUGCGUAUACGCUUUAUUUUUUU
rnacentral:antisense_RNA from 1 species